rnacentral:rRNA from 1 species
AUACGUAGGUGGCAAGCGUUGUCCGGAAUUAUUGGGCGUAAAGCGCGCGCAGGUGGUUCCUUAAGUCUGAUGUGAAAGCCCCGGCUCAACCGGGGAGGGUCAUUGGAAACUGGGGAACCUGAGUGCAGAAGAGGAUAGUGGAAUUCCAAGUGUAGCGGUGAAAUGCGUAGAGAUUUGGAGGAACACCAGUGGCGAAGGCGACUGUCUGGUCUGUAACUGACACUGAGGCGCGAAAGCGUGGGGAGCAAACAGGAUUAGAUACCCUGGUAGUCCACGCCGUAAACGAUGAGUGCUAAGUGUUGGGGGGUUUCCGCCCCUCAGUGCUGCAGCUAACGCAUUAAGCACUCCGCCUGGGGAGUACGGUCGCAAGACUGAAACUCAAAUGAAUUGACGGGG